rnacentral:misc_RNA from 1 species
UAAUAAGUGUUUUAUGGCACUUUUUAAAUCCAUAUCCACCUUGUGUGCAAUGUCUGUCGAUCUUCUUCAUGGAGAUCGACCAAACAUCAACCUUUAUCUUUUAACUCUUUGUCUGAAAAAUAUUAUGAAUAAACAAUUCAAAAUA